rnacentral:rRNA from 1 species
CCCUUAGAUGUUCUGGGCCGCACGCGCGCUACACUGAUGAAUGCAACGAGCUCUACCCUUGACCGAAAGGCCCGGGUAAACUUGUGAAACUUCAUUGUGAUGGGGAUAGAUUAUUGCAAUUAUUAAUCUUCAACGAGGAAUUCCUAGUAAGCGCGAGUCAUCAGCUCGCGUUGAUUACGUCCCUGCCCUUUGUACACACCGCCCGUCGCUCCUACCGAUUGAAUGGUCCGGUGAAAUCUUCGGAUUGCUGACCAAGAUCCAGCAAUGGAGCUUGGUUGCGAGAAGUUGAUUAAACCUUAUUAUUUAGAGGAAGGAGAAGUCGUAACA